AGCUAGCUUGAUUCUGUCUAGUUUAAUUAGCUAUUUAUAUAAUUUUAUAUGUAAAUUUUUGUGUGAUUUAUAUUUAUUUAAAUGAUAAUUUUUUUUGAAUUUGCAGUUUUUUAUUUUGUAUAAUUUUUGAAAAAAAGAUACAGUUAAUUUUUUUAAGGUUGUUCAAUAUUGUGCCAGCAUACGCGGUUAUACAAUUGACCUAUGUUAAUUUUUUUGGUUUGUAUUUAUUUUAUUUAUUUGGAAAUAAUUAUGAUUUUAUUAGGUGAAAUUUUAAUUUUAUUUAUUUGUUUUUGGUUAAGAAUUAUAUGAAAUUUAAUUUUUUAGACUAGGAUUAGAUACCCUAUUAUUAUUAAAUUUAAAUUUAUAAUCAUAAUAUUAAUAGUUAUGAUCUUUAAAUUAAAAGAAUUUGGCGGUAAUUUAGUCUUUUCAGAGGAACCUGUUCUGUAAUCGAUAAUCCCCGUUGGAUUUUACUUUAAUUUAUUGUUUGUAUAUCUCUGUCAUUGAAUGUUUUAUUAGAAUAUUUUCUUUAAUUAUUAAUUUAAUUAAUGUCAGGUCAAGGUGCAACUAUAUUAAAGGUUGAGAUGGGUUACAUUUAAUGUUAUUUAUUGAAUUUAUAUUUAUUUGGAUUUAAAUUUAAUGAAAUAGGAUUUGAAAGUAAUUAAUAUUAAUUUUUAUUAAUGAUUUGAGCUCUAGAUUAUGCACAUAUCGCCCGUCACUCUCAUUAUUAAAAUGAGAUAAGUCGUAACAAAGUAAUUUUACUGGAAAGUGAAGUUAGAAUUUUC
rnacentral:ncRNA from 1 species